rnacentral:rRNA from 1 species
GACGAACGCUGGCGGCGUGCUUAACACAUGCAAGUCGAACGGAAAGGCCCUGCUUUUGUGGGGUGCUCGAGUGGCGAACGGGUGAGUAACACGUGAGUAACCUGCCCUUGACUUUGGGAUAACUUCAGGAAACUGGGGCUAAUACCGGAUAGGAGCUCCUGCUGCAUGGUGGGGGUUGGAAAGUUUCGGCGGUUGGGGAUGGACUCGCGGCUUAUCAGCUUGUUGGUGGGGUAGUGGCUUACCAAGGCUUUGACGGGUAGCCGGCCUGAGAGGGUGGCCGGCCACAUUGGGACUGAGAGACGGCCCAGACUCCUACGUGAGGCAGCAGUGGGGAAUAUUGCACAAUGGGCGGAAGCCUGAUGCAGCAACGCCGCGUGCGGGAUGACGGCCUUCGGGUUGUAAACCGCUUUCGCCUGUGACGAAGCGUGAGUGACGGUAAUGGGUAAAGAAGCACCGGCUAACUACGUG